rnacentral:rRNA from 1 species
UCCCUACGGGACGCAGCAGUGAGGAAUAUUGGUCAAUGGGCGGGAGCCUGAACCAGCCAAGUCGCGUGAGGGAAGACGGUCCUAUGGAUUGUAAACCUCUUUAGGCGGGGAGCAAUGCCGGGCACGCGUGCCCGGAGGGAGAGUACCCGCAGAAUAAGCAUCGGCUAACUCCGUGCCAGCAGCCGCGGUAAUACGGAGGAUGCGAGCGUUAUCCGGAUUUAUUGGGUUUAAAGGGUGCGCAGGCGGCGAGUUAAGUCAGCGGUAAAAUUUCGGGGCUCAACCCCGACAAGCCGUUGAAACUGGCU